rnacentral:rRNA from 1 species
UACGGAGGGUGCAAACGUUGUUCGGAAUCAUUGGGCGUAAAGGGCGCGUAGGUGGCGAUGUAUGUCUGAUGUGAAAGCCCGGAGCUUAACUCCGGAAGUGCGUCGGAAACUGCAUCACUUGAGUCUCGGAGAGGAUAACGGAAUUCCUGGUGUAGAGGUGAAAUUCGUAGAUAUCAGGAGGAACACCGGUGGCGAAGGCGGGUCUCUGGGCCGCAACUGACGCUGAGGAGCGAAAGCGUGGGGAGCGAACAGG